rnacentral:rRNA from 1 species
AUGGAUGUAUUAGCUACCUAUGAAAUGACUCAAACUGGAUUCAGAAAGGAGAAAAACAUAAAACAGUACAUUACUAUUCUUCUUUACAUGAUCUUCUGUUGCUUGCUACUAUCCUGCCAAUUCUUUGCUUCAUCAGACAUGCAUGUGUCUGAGGCCACAUGCUUUAUUCUAAGGAUCUCAGUAGAAACUUGUCCCAUAUCAGGCCGCUCUUUGGGUGAUGCCAUGGAGCAAGAGAGGCCUAUUCUUAGAAGUGGAAUAACGCAAUUCUCCAUCAUGUCAGUUGCAUUGCUGUUAUCUUGUAGCAUUGUAGGGUCAACAACCUCAUGA